rnacentral:rRNA from 1 species
UACAGAGGGUGCAAGCGUUGUUCGGAAUUACUGGGCGUAAAGGGCGCGUAGGCGGGAUGGCAAGUCGGUCGUGAAAUCCCUCGGCUCAACUGAGGAGCGUCGAUCGAAACUGCCGUUCUUGAGGGUUGCAGAGGAGACUGGAAUUCCCGGUGUAGCGGUGAAAUGUGUAGAGAUCGGGAGGAACACCGGUGGCGAAGGCGGGUCUCUGGGCAACUCCUGACGCUGAGGCGCGAAAGCGUGGGGAGCAAACGGG